rnacentral:rRNA from 1 species
GAUCCUGGCUCAGGACGAACGCUGGCGGCGCGCCUAACACAUGCAAGUCGAACGAGCGAGAGAGAGUUUACUUUCUCAAGCGAGUGGCGAACGGGUGAGUAACGCGUGAGGAACCUGCCUCAAAGAGGGGGACAACAGUUGGAAACGACUGCUAAUACCGCAUAAGCCCACGACCCGGCAUCGGGUAGAGGGAAAAGGAGCAAUCCGCUUUGAGAUGGCCUCGCGUCCGAUUAGCUAGUUGGUGAGGUAACCGG